rnacentral:rRNA from 1 species
GUGGGGAAUAUUGGACAAUGGGCGCAAGCCUGAUCCAGCCAUGCCGCGUGAGUGAUGAAGGCCUUAGGGUUGUAAAGCUCUUUCAGUAGGGAAGAUAAUGACGGUACCUACAGAAGAAGCCCCGGCUAACUUCGUGCCAGCAGCCGCGGUAAUACGAAGGGGGCUAGCGUUGUUCGGAUUUACUGGGCGUAAAGCGCACGUAGGCGGAUUGGUCAGUUAGAGGUGAAAUCCCGAAGCUCAACUUCGGAACUGCCUUUAAUACUGCCAGUCUCGAGUCCGGAAGAGGUGAGUGGAACUCCUAGUGUAGAGGUGGAAUUCGUAGAUAUUAGGAAGAACAACAGUGGCGAAGGCGGCUCACUGGUCCGGUACUGACGCUGAGGUGCGAAAGCGUGGGGAGCAAACAGGAUUAGAUACCCUAGUAGUCC